UACCUGCAUUCAUUGAAUUUUACUAGGCUUUGUUGUGGUAACAACUUACAAAUAUUGGCCACUUAACCAACUACAAGUUGAUUUUUUGAUCAGGUGGUCUGCUAGAUAUUGAGACAAAUCUCCAGCAUUCUCACACAAUACAAAACAUCACACUGGCAUUCCAGUACAAAGGACAGACCCCAGAAUACAGGAUCUGGAGAGAAAAACAGAUUUUCUAACCGAGUCUCAUCUUGUGGGAGAGCACCUGUCCAGGGCACACGGACUACACUGGACCAAAAGAGUGGCCAGUUCCCGAGCUAUCACAAAGGAUCGCAGUGAGAAGGCUUAUACAACUGUUUGCCUUCUGCCAGCCUCAUCUCUAAGUCCCAGUUCAAAGGCCACCUGUCAUCUGGAUCACUCUUUGAUCCCCUUUGAUCCCCACAGAGAAGGAGAGGCCAGACGGAAUCCCGUAUUCGCUGAGUGCCAAGCACGUUCCAGGGGCACCACGUGUCAUUUUUCCAGCUGAGGCAGGUACCAUCAGCCUUUUCGUACAGAUGGCGAAACCACAGAGCAAGAAGCCGGGAAUCCAUCCAGGGCCCACAUUCAGUCGAGGAACUAACGUGACUCCUAACCCUCUCUGUUAACACCACAUCCUCCCUCAACAGGCUGUAAGCUUCUCGAAAUUAACCUGGAUGUUUAUUUUUGAUCUGCACACUACCCAUCAUAUGGUAUUUCACAAACUGUAAUUACUAAUAAUCACUGAAGGAACACAUAUAGAUCGAGAACCUGAAAUAAAUUUCUGUCCUUAAGAGACUUAAAAUGUAUUUGGAUAAAUAAGAUACUUCAGGAGAGAGCUAAUGAUAUAAAUAAAUUUGACAUAAAUGCCAAUUGAAUUAGAAUUAAGAAGUACUUUUAGGAGUUCAGAGACAAUCCUUUGCAUGCUUAUUUAAUACUUGAUAGUUUUCUUUAAAGGUAACUUAUUUAAAUCUCUAUUUUCUUCUUUCCAUCUCUGAGAUAAUGAAAUUUGCUGAAUGGCCUUCCUUUUGUUAUGGUUUUUCAGGAUGGUAUUCAUUGGUUUACAAUAAUUUCAAUGUUUC
ensembl:lncRNA